GAUGAAGAACGUAGCGAAAUGCGAUAAGUAAUGCGAAUUGCAGAAUUCAGUGAAUCAUUGAAUCUUUGAACGCACAUUGCGCCCGCUAGUAUUCUGGCGGGCAUGCCUGUCUGAGCGUCAUUUCAACCCUCGCCCCCGGCUUUUGCUGGGAGCGGUGUUGGGGAUCGGCCGCCCGUCACUGGGAGGCCGGCCCCGAAAUAGAGUGGCGACCACGCCGUGUGCUCCUCUGCGUAGUAGUAAAUCACCUCGCAGGCGGACAGCGGUGCGGCCUGCCGUAAAACCCCCAACUCUUUCUGGUUGACCUCAGAUCAGGUAGGAAUACCCGCUGAACUUAAGCAUAUCAAUAAGCGGAGGA
rnacentral:misc_RNA from 1 species